rnacentral:rRNA from 1 species
GAUGAACGCUGGCGGCGUGCCUAAUACAUGCAAGUCGAGCGAACGGACGAGAAGCUUGCUUUUCUGAUGUUAGCGGCGGACGGGUGAGUAACACGUGGAUAACCUACCUAUAAGACUGGGAUAACUUCGGGAAACCGGAGCUAAUACCGGAUAAUAUUUUGAACCGCAUGGUUCAAAAGUGAAAGACGGUCUUGCUGUCACUUAUAGAUGGAUCCGCGCUGCAUUAGCUAGUUGGUAAGGUAACGGCUUACCAAGGCAACGAUGCAUAGCCGACCUGAGAGGGUGAUCGGCCACACUGGAACUGAGACACGGUCCAGACUCCUACGGGAGGCAGCAGUAGGGAAUCUUCCGCAGUGGGCGAAAGCCUGACGGAGCAACGCUGCGUGAGUGAUGAAGGUCUUCGGAUCGUAAAACUCUGUUAUUAGGGAAGAACAUAUGUGUAAGUAACUGUGCACAUCUUGACGGUACCUAAUCAGAAAGCCACGGCUAACUACGUG